GAUGAACGCUGGCGGCGUGCCUAAUACAUGCAAGUCGAGCGAACGGACGAGAAGCUUGCUUCUCUGAUGUUAGCGGCGGACGGGUGAGUAACACGUGGAUAACCUACCUAUAAGACUGGGAUAACUUCGGGAAACCGGAGCUUAUACCGGAUAAUAUUUUGAACCGCAUGGUUCAAUAGUGAAAGACGGUCUUGCUGGCACUUAUAGAUGGAUCCGCGCUGCAUUAUCUAGUUGGUAAGGUAACGGCUUACCAAGGCAACUAUGCAUAGCCGACCUGAGAGGGUGAUCGGCCACACUGGAACUGAGACAGGGACCAGACUCCUACGGGAGGCAGCAGUAGGGAAUCUUCCGCAAUGGGCGAAAGCCUGACGGAGCGGCGCCACGCGAGUGAUGAAGGUCUUCGGAUCGUAAAAAUGUGUUAUUAGGGAAAAACAUAUGUGUACGUAACUGUGCACAUCUUGACGGUACCUAAUCAGAAAGCCACGGCUAACUACGUG
rnacentral:rRNA from 1 species